CAGCCGCCGCGGUAAUACGUAGAGGGCAAGCGUUGUCCGGAAUCACUGGGCGUAAAGGGUACGUAGGCGGAUAUAUAAGUCAAAUGUGAAAGGCACCGGCUUAACCGGUGAGCUGCAUUUGAAACUGUAUAUCUUGAGUUCAGGAGAGGAGAGCGGAAUUCCUGGUGUAGCGGUGGAAUGCGUAGAUAUCAGGAAGAACACCAGUGGCGAAGGCGGCUCUCUGGCCUGAAACUGACGCUCAGGUACGAAAGCUGGGGUAGCAAACGGGAUUAGAUACCCCGGUAGUCCCAGCCGUAAACGAUGGACACUAGGUGUUGGGGGUUCGAAUCCUUCAGUGCCGAAGUUAACGCAUUAAGUGUCCCGCCUGGGGAGUACGGUCGCAAGACUGAAACUCAAAGGAAUUGACGGGGGCCCGCACAAGCGGUGGAGCAUGUGGUUUAAUUCGAUGCAACGCGCAGAACCUUACCGAGACUUGACAUCCCGUGCCUAUCUGUGAAAGCAGAGUCUGCCUUCGGGCACACGGAGACAGGUGGUGCAUGGCC
rnacentral:rRNA from 1 species